GUGCAAGAUUUCAAAAGUGACUAAUGAGAGAGAAACUGAAAGAAAGCUAGGGACGAGGUACACAAGAAACGCAAGAAGGAAUAGCGGUCCAUCUCAAUAAAAAGAUAAAAGAUUUCUCCAAAGAGUUUAAAGGUGAACAAUGGAGGAAGCUGGGCAGAAAAAAAAGCCUUCACAUUACCUAAGUGGCGAGAGUAUCAAUUGUGCUAAGAGUACUCGAGAGAUUAGAUGGAAUGAGUUUCAUCCUCAAAAAGAUUAAUUUUCUUAAAAACAUUAUUAUCAUUGUCAAUGAGGACAUUGACCUCCUUAAACAGGAAGAGGAUAUAAGAAACUAAAUUAGGCAGCUCUUAUGCUAGUGAAAGCAAUAAGAGCUGAGAGUUGCUCAAUGCUCAAGGAUAAUUUGUAGGGAUGUGACUUAAGGAGAAGUUGAGUGGAUCACCUUCCUCGAUCCAAAAGAGCUUUCGUAUAGCGAUGUGAAAUGAGUC
rnacentral:lncRNA from 1 species